rnacentral:rRNA from 1 species
CACUCCUACGGGAGGCAGCAGUGGGGAAUUUUGGACAAUGGGCGAAAGCCUGAUCCAGCAAUGCCGCGUGUGUGAAGAAGGCCUUCGGGUUGUAAAGCACUUUUGUCCGGAAAGAAAUCCUUGGCUCUAAUACAGUCGGGGGAUGACGGUACCGGAAGAAUAAGCACCGGCUAACUACGUGCCAGCAGCCGCGGUAAUACGUAGGGUGCGAGCGUUAAUCGGAAUUACUGGGCGUAAAGCGUGCGCAGGCGGUUUGCUAAGACCGAUGUGAAAUCCCCGGGCUCAACCUGGGAACUGCAUUGGUGACUGGCAGGCUAGAGUAUGGCAGAGGGGGGUAGAAUUCCACGUGUAGCAGUGAAAUGCGUAGAGAUGUGGAGGAAUACCGAUGGCGAAGGCAGCCCCCUGGGCCAAUACUGACGCUCAUGCACGAAAGCGUGGGGAGCAAACAGGAUUAGAUACCCCUGUAGUCCCAUGAU